UGGCUCAUAAUAAGCUGGAAGACCAAUGACUGCUUCUCAGAGACUCCCAAAGGCCCAAUGUCCUGGCUGCAGAUUUGCGGCUGAGUCAGCACGGUGCACAGCAGAAAGGUGGGGGAGGGUGGCCAGUGCCGCCCUGCCAGGCUCUGUCUGUAUUACCUGGAGCAGCACGGACCCUUCAGUCUCCAUUCUCUCUUCAGGAAAGAGGCCUCCUCAUAGAUGGACACAUCAAGGCUCAGAGUUGUCGGUGUGAUGAUUCCCUGCAUACUUCAGGAUGCAUCCUCCGUCAUCAGGCUGGGCUGCAAGAUAGAAUAUAACAUGCAUAUGGCAGACGUCAAAAGG